rnacentral:piRNA from 1 species
UACCAGUAGGGUGGUGGCAGUUAUAGC